rnacentral:tRNA from 1 species
ACCUGGGUGGCUCUGUCGGUAGAGCAUCUGACUUCAGCUCAGGUCAGGAUCUCAUAGUUCUCUCAUGAUUCAUGGGUUUGAGCCCCAUGUCAGGCU